rnacentral:miRNA from 1 species
GCAGACACAUUCCAGCCAAUCAGCAGCAGACCCUCCCUCCCAGACCCUCCCACCUCCUGGACAGCAUCCAUUUUACAUUCAUUGUGAAGCUGCAUUCUUAGUGAGCUGUCCAGGAGAUGGGAGGGUCUGGGAGGGAGGGUCUGCUGCUGAUUGGCUGGUAUGUGUCUG